AUGUAUUCCCACUAGGCAGGAAAUUGGAUUGAGUUUUCUCUAGACAAAUGGUUCUUGAUUGUGGCCUCAGGCCCAGCAACACCAGUAUCACCUGAAACUUAUUACAAAUGCAAAUUUUCAGACUCUGUGCACUGACUGAAAACAUCCAAGUGUGGGGCCUAGCAAUUUUUGUUUUAACAAGACAUCCAAGUGAUUCUGAAGCACUCAGGUGUGAAUAUCAAACUCAAGAUUUGAGAACCACUGCUCUAGAAAAACUGAUUGGCCCAAGAGAUCUGGCGUCAACUACUUCACUCUACCAUGAAGGCUGCCAGCCAGUUACACCCAAGCACAAGCACAUAGCUUCCAAUAUGCUUUCAAAAUACCAGACACCAAGGGAUCACAAGAUUUUCGAGGAGAGCCUUGAAGUCGGAACACUGAAACCCAAACAAACAGGAAAAAGGACAUAGAGAAAAGCAUGACAUUGAAAAGAACAGAAAGAACAUAAAAACUAUAAUUGACAGCUUCAGAAAGUUAAGAAAAGAGAUUGAAUUCAUAAAACCAGAUCAGACGAUUAAAAAAGGAACAAUAAGAAACAAGAAAGAGCUCUUUGGAAAUUGAAAGUAUGAUUGCUGAAUAAAAAAAAAAUCCCUCUAGAAGAGUUAUAUGUGAAGGUCGUCCAAAUUGAAAUGGCCCACUGUGCUGUGUACCCAGCAGAAGAAUGAAAAAAUACCUGCACCAAUUCAGAACCUGAAGUUUCAGAACACUAGACUUUAAGAGAGAAUGCACUCCAUGUAAACAAGAAGACUCAAGAUUUAAGAAACAAGGCCACCAUCACUGGACAUAGAAAAAGAGGAUCCUCAGAAUCAAAUCUAUAGGAAAUUUCAAGGUAGAAGAUACUGCAACAGACUUAGAGAGUGACUAGAUGACUGGCUCAAGAGACCAGAGGGCUCCAGGAGUGACUGUUCUGGGAGGAAGAAAUGGAUUUAACCAAUUACUUGACAUGGAAACUGAAACUGAAUUUGGGAAGAAUUAGGGUUAUUAACAGAAAAGCAAGACAAUUACUAACUUAAGAAAAUAAGCUGAGUAGGAAAGAAAUGUAAUAAUAGCCCAGAUUUGAAAAAAAUAUUUACAUAGUCAUAUUAAUGUGAGCACUGAACACUGAUUUAAUAAAUGAUGGUAAAACAAUAAUGAGAUGAUGUAGGGAGAGAAACACACAUGGCAGAAGUGGUAAAAGUGGGCUAAAUCUUCGCAGUUCAUUAUAGAAAGUCAAUAGAUGAUGUACAGUUGCUAAAUCAAUCACAAAACAGCAGAAUAAUUGUAUAUGAAUUUACUGAAAAAGCUGAACAUUGGUGUGGGCUCCAUUUAAAGGUAGAACUUAAAUUAGGCAAGUGGGAGGAUAAUGGUUAUGUUAGAAAAAGUUACAUAAUAACUAACAAAGAUCAGGAACUGGGAAACGGAGCUAUAAAAAAGUAUACCAAUUUCAAAAUAUUUUAUGAUAGGGAAGAAAUAGGGUGGCCAGAAAAAGGGAAACAAAUAUUUUUUAAAACUGUACAAUCUCCUAAUGUUUUGCAUAAUCUUAUUCCCUUAUCCAUAGAAAUUCUAGAAAUGGAUAGCCCUCAAAUUUUUUGAACAUUGUAUAAAGUUUAGCAAAGUCUUUUAGCUUCAAAAAUUCUUUUGCUUUUUAAAAAUUUUAAGUAAAUAUCAUAUAAUUAUUUAAAUAAAAUUUAAUAUGCUCUGUAUCAAUCUAUCACCUAUCUUAUAUAUCUAAACCAUUUAUCCAUCUAUCUUUUUGUCUGCAUAUGUACUAAUUGAGCAACAUCUAGAAUGAGCUUCACCUAAUGUUAAUGAUGAUGCUUCUAAGUGAUGAGACUUGGAAUUAUUUUUUACACUUGUCUUUUUACUUUUUGUAUUGAUUAGAAUUGUUUAAUAAUAAUUAUAUUCAUAUUAAAGUAUCUUUAGAGUCUUGAAAUUGAAGACUUAUUUUUGAAUGAAUUUUAUGGCUU
rnacentral:lncRNA from 1 species